UUUUAUGCACACUCAUUCCAUAAUCUAUGUGACACACUCUAUUCAUGUUAGACAUGUUAUGCUACUGUAAACACCUAAUGACUAUGUGUUCAUUAACUUCGUACAAGCCUCCCCUAACAAUGGUAGCGCUAUAGGUUGAGAAACGCCCCUCCUGUUCUAUGAGCAGGUAUUGUUAGGUUAAACUAUGUCAAACAUACUCAAACUCGUUUGGGUACACUUUAAUUGCGUUAAACUUUGGUUUGGGCACAUAGAGUAACAUCGUUUCGAGUAUAUACUGUUAACAUGAUAUUGUAUUUCACAUUUGGAUAUGAGCAACAUUUUAAACACGUACUAUGCUAUGUUGAAAGUACAAGAUUCAAGAAUCAAGCUAGGAUGAACUCUAGAAACCCACAUAACACUUGAAUUAUUGUUGAACAAUAUGUUGUCUUGUUUGGAACUAUGUAUUUCACUUUAGAGUUUAUGAAAUGAAUUAAAUAAAUUAUUGUC
rnacentral:lncRNA from 1 species